rnacentral:rRNA from 1 species
AGUGAACGCUGGCGGUAGGCCUAACACAUGCAAGUCGAGCGGCAGCACAGUAAGAGCUUGCUCUUACGGGUGGCGAGUGGCGGACGGGUGAGGAAUACAUCGGAAUCUACUUUUUCGUGGGGGAUAGCGUAGGGAAACUUACGCUAAUACCGCAUACGACCUACGGGUGAAAGCAGGGGAUCUUCGGACCUUGCGCGAUUGAAUGAGCCGAUGUCGGAUUAGCUAGUUGGCGGGGUAAAGGCCCACCAAGGCGACGAUCCGUAGCUGGUCUGAGAGGAUGAUCAGCCACACUGGAACUGAGACACGGUCCAGACUCCUACGGGAGGCAGCAGUGGGGAAUAUUGGACAAUGGGCGCAAGCCUGAUCCAGCCAUACCGCGUGGGUGAAGAAGGCCUUCGGGUUGUAAAGCCCUUUUGUUGGGAAAGAAAAGCAGCAGGUUAAUACCCCGCUGUUCUGACGGUACCCAAAGAAUAAGCACCGGCUAACUUCGUG